UAAUGUAUGGGGAUCUGCCCGAUAGAGGGGAAUAACUACUGGAAACGGCGGCUAAUACCGCAUAAUGUCUACGGACCAAAGCAGGGGCUCUUCGGACCUUGCACUAUCGGAUGAACCCAUAUGGGAUUAGCUAGUAGGUGGGGUAAAGGCUCACCUAGGCGACGAUCUCUAGCUGGUCUGAGAGGAUGAUCAGCCACACUGGGACUGAGACACGGCCCAG
rnacentral:rRNA from 1 species